rnacentral:rRNA from 1 species
AUUGAACGCUGGCGGCAUGCCUUACACAUGCAAGUCGAACGGUAACAGGUCUUCGGAUGCUGACGAGUGGCGAACGGGUGAGUAAUGCAUCGGAACGUGCCCAGUAGUGGGGGAUAGCCCGGCGAAAGCCGGAUUAAUACCGCAUACGACCUGAGGGUGAAAGGGGGGGAUCGCAAGACCUCUCGCUAUUGGAGCGGCCGAUGUCAGAUUAGCUAGUUGGUGGGGUAAAGGCCUACCAAGGCAACGAUCUGUAGUUGGUCUGAGAGGACGACCAGCGACACUGGGACUGGGACACGGCCAAGAGUCCAACGGGAGGCAGCAGUGGGGAAUUUUGGACAAUGGGCGCAAGCCUGAUCCAGCAAUGCCGCGUGCAGGAAGAAGGCCUUCGGGUUGUAAACUGCUUUUGUCAGGGAAGAAAUCUUCUGGGUUAAUACCUCGGGAGGAUGACGGUACCUGAAGAAUAAGCACCGGCUAACUACGUGCCAGCAGCCGCCGUAACAC